CCAUUUUCGAUGUUGUUUUAAGCCCAUUUCUAGCCAUGUGAUGUGAAAUCUGCGCCGCUUUGAUUUCAAUAAAACCACACUGCUGUUCACAUCCAUACCUCAGUGACCAGUGAUAGUAGCAAUGUCAUAUCUACAAGCUAUUGAUGCUCAGCCUUGUUGCAGGGUGAUGAUCCUCUGCUCUCCAAAAGUCCCUCUGUGCUAGUUACUCCCUCUGCUUUUUCCUGUCAUAUUAAUAAGAUGUUUUCCCGGUGGACUCGGUUGCGGAAGUUCCCCAAACCCACUCAAGGGAAUCAACAUGACCUGGUGAAUGUCUGUGAUGAGCUCACUCCAGAUGAAUAUCAUGCACAAGAAUAAGAUACUGUUCAACAGGAACCCCAUUUCAUCCCAGUCCCAAUGACCCUAUUCAGCACGUAACUGUCUCCUAUGAGCAAAGUGACGGUUCCUUUGUGAAUGAUAAACCUAGACACGUCGCAGAAAAGGUAGGGUAACAGGAUCAGGUACAUUGGACUCCCUAACACUUUGGCACCAGACAGUUCAUGACAACCAAAAGAGCGAUGCAAACAUGAAGAGUUAGGGCUCGUAACCAAUGGGCGAAACCUAAGGCUGAGC
rnacentral:sRNA from 1 species